rnacentral:rRNA from 1 species
ACACGGUCCAAACUCCUACGGGAGGCAGCAGUGAGGAAUAUUGGUCAAUGGGCGCGAGCCUGAACCAGCCAAGUAGCGUGGAGGACGACGGCCCUACGGGUUGUAAACUCCUUUUAUAAGGGGAUAAAGUUGGCCAUGUAUGGCCAUUUGCAGGUACCUUAUGAAUAAGCAUCGGCUAAUUCCGUGCCAGCAGCCGCGGUAAUACGGAAGAUGCGAGCGUUAUCCGGAUUUAUUGGGUUUAAAGGGAGCGUAGGCGGGCAGUCAAGUCAGCGGUCAAAUGGCGCGGCUCAACCGCGUUCCGCCGUUGAAACUGGCAGCCUUGAGUAUGCACAGGGUACAUGGAAUUCGUGGUGUAGCGGUGAAAUGCUUAGAUAUCACGAGGAACUCCGAUCGCGCAGGCAUUGUACCGGGGCAUUACUGACGCUGAGGCUCGAAGGUGCGGGUAUCAAACAGGAUUAGAUACCCUGGUAGUCCGCACAGUAAACGAUGAAUGCCCGCUGUCGGCGACAUAGUGUCGGCGGCCAAGCGAAAGCGUUAAGCAUUCCACCUGGGGAGUACGCCGGCAACGGUGAAACUCAAAGGAAUUGACGGGGGCCCGCACAAGCGGAGGAACAUGUGGUUUAAUUCGAUGAUACGCGAGGAACCUUACCCGGGCUUGAAUUGCAACUGAAUGAUGUGGAGACAUGUCAGCCGCAAGGCAGUUGUGAAGGUGCUGCAUGGUUGUCGUCAGCUCGUGCCGUGAGGUGUCGGCUUAAGUGCCAUAACGAGCGCAACCCCCCUCCCCAGUUGCCAUCGGGUAAUGCCGGGCACUUUGGGGACACUGCCACCGCAAGGUGCGAGGAAGGUGGGGAUGACGUCAAAUCAGCACGGCCCUUACGUCCGGGGCGACACACGUGUUACAAUGGGGGGUACAGAGGGCCGCUGCCCGGUGACGGUUGGCCAAUCCCUAAAACCCCUCUCAGUUCGGACUGGAGUCUGCAACCCGACUCCACGAAGCUGGAUUCGCUAGUAAUCGCGCAUCAGCCAUGGCGCGGUGAAUACGUUCCCGGGCCUUGUACACACCGCCCGUCAAGCCAUGAAAGCCGGGGGUACCUGAAGGCCGUGACCGCAAGGGUCGGCCUAGGGUAAGACUGGUGAUUGGGGCUAAGUCGUAACAAGGUAGCCGUACCGGAAGGUGCGGCUG